GACGGGUGAGUAACACGUGGGUAACCUGCCUCGUAGUGGGGAAUAACUCGCCGAAAGGCGAGCUAAUACCGCAUAUUACUUCCGGUGAAAGUCCGGAAAGUAAAAGCUUCGGCGCUACGAGAGGGGCCCGCGGCCGAUUAGCUAGUUGGUGGGGUAAUGGCCUACCAAGGCGACGAUCGGUAGCUGGUCUGAGAGGAUGGUCAGCCACACGGGGACUGAGAUACGGCCUUUUAUUCCUACGGGAGGCAGCAGCUAAGAAUCUUGCGCAAUGGGCGAAAGCCUGACGCAGCAACGCCGCGUGGAGGACGAAGGCCCUCGGGUUGUAAACUCCUUUUGCGAGGGAAGAAGUUCUGACGGUACCUCGCGAAUAAGCCACGGCUAACUACGUGCCAGCAGCCGCGGUAAUACGUAGGUGGCGAGCGUUGUCCGGAUUUAUUGGGCGUAA
rnacentral:rRNA from 1 species